CAGCCGUAAACUAUGCUCGCUAGGUGUCAGGCAUGGCGCGACCGUGUCUAGUGCCGCAGGGAAGCCGUGAAGCGAGCCACCUGGGAAGUACGGCCGCAAGGCUGAAACUUAAAGGAAUUGGCGGGGGAGCACAACAACGGGUGGAGCCUGCGGUUUAAUUGGACUCAACGCCGGACAACUCACCGGGAACGACAGCAAUAUGUAGGCCAGGCUGAAGACCUUGCCUGAAUCGCUGAGAGGAGGUGCAUGGCGUAGACGUCU
rnacentral:rRNA from 1 species